rnacentral:rRNA from 1 species
UACACUCCUACGGGAGGCAGCAGUGGGGAAUUUUGGACAAUGGGCGAAAGCCUGAUCCAGCAAUGCCGCGUGCAGGAUGAAGGCCUUCGGGUUGUAAACUGCUUUUGUACGGAACGAAAAAGCUCCUUCUAAUACAGGGGGCCCAUGACGGUACCGUAAGAAUAAGCACCGGCUAACUACGUGCCAGCAGCCGCGGUAAUACGUAGGGUGCGAGCGUUAAUCGGAAUUACUGGGCGUAAAGCGUGCGCAGGCGGUUAUGUAAGACAGAUGUGAAAUCCCCGGGCUCAACCUGGGAACUGCAUUUGUGACUGCAUGGCUAGAGUACGGUAGAGGGGGAUGGAAUUCCGCGUGUAGCAGUGAAAUGCGUAGAUAUGCGGAGGAACACCGAUGGCGAAGGCAAUCCCCUGGACCUGUACUGACGCUCAUGCACGAAAGCGUGGGGAGCAAACAGGAUUAGAAACCCUGGUAGUCCCAU